GGGGUUGUUGCUCAGCGGUAGAGCGCUUGCCUAGCAUGUUUGAGGCACUGAGUUUGAUUCUCAGCACUGCA
rnacentral:tRNA from 1 species